GGCUGCGUAGUUCAAUGGAUAGAAUAGCUCAUUCCUAACGAGUUGAUACAGGUUCGAUUCCUGUCGCGGCUA
rnacentral:tRNA from 1 species